rnacentral:lncRNA from 1 species
GGCUGAGCACCGUGGGUCGGCGAGGGCCCGCCAAGGAAGGAGCGACCGACCGAGCCAGGCGCCCUCCGCAGACCUCCGCGCAGCGGCCGCGGGCGCGAGGGGAGGGGUCUGGAGCUCCCUCCGGCUGCCUGUCCCGCACCGGAGCCCGUGGGGUGGGGAGGUGUGCAGCCUGUGACAGACAGGGGCUUAGAGAUGCAAACAGACUCAGGGAGAGAAACAGAAGCUGAUUCUGUGACAGAAGCAGAUCUGUGCAGCACAGAUGCGGUGUGCGUGGGGAGGGGGUCGCCUGGGAGCGCAUUGCGGAGUGCUUGUGUGUGCAGAUUUUUCUCUGGGCUCAGGACUCAUUGUAUGUGGGUCAACACCUUCCUCCGUGACUGUGUUUUUGUUCUGAGCUGAGUUUUUUGGUUUGCCCUUAAAAAAAUAAUAAUUUGGCAUCCAGAGACUGGCAGACUGCCUCAGGGCCUGGACUGCGGAUAUAUUGUGUUCUGCUUGAGGUUUGGGGAGGAGGGCAGGCGGUAGGAAGGGAGAGGGGGAGCUGUUUGUCACACUUUGCUGUAGAGCUGAGAGCACCUGACAAGCUUAAGGAAGUCGUUGGGCUAUGUGGACAAGAAGGAGCCAGCUCCCAGCGGGUUCACAAGCUCUAUCGGAGUUGAAAGCGUGGUCAUGGCUCUAAGGAGCACCUCACGCCCUCCCUGUAGCUGUUAUUGCAGUUUCAGGCAGAGAUCCAGGAGCUGCAGAGGAAGGGAGAGGCACAAUAACCUACAUGGACCCAAGGGAGACAUGUGUUCCUUUAAAAAUGUGAACAGAAGGAAAAACAGAAUGUGUGCAACUGGGGGUCUGAGGAAAGACUGUUUUGAAAGAGGCUGUCAGGGAAUGGAAAGGGUUAAGCUUUUCAUCCUGAAGAACCUGCUUCCCAAAUCAGGCCUUCCUCCCAUCACUAGACCCUGAGCAGCAGCUGGUCCUAGAGACCCCCCUCGUACUGCGCUGCCACAGUCUCAUCCCAUUUCCAGCUCUGUAUUAACCACCAAGCUGCAGCGGAUGGGGCAAGACCUAAGCUCAUUAAUUUCCAGGUGGAGGAAAUGGAGGAGGGGCAGGUCCCUGCAGUAGAGGGAGGAGCAGAGAAAGGAGGCCAAGAGCUGGAUCCUUCUGCCCAGGAAGCCUGCUGCAUCCCUUCCCCCGAGCAUGGCAGAGGCCUGGCUUUGCAAGGCCAAGGCCAUAAGGGAUGCUUAGGAGAUUAAUUUGAUUCCUGACACAAUAAUCAAGCCCUAAGAGUCUCCACUGAAGCUUACUGAGGACUUCUUUCCUCUCCAAAGCCUCAGUCUAGCCUGCUAAAUAAAUUAGUAUUCAGUGAUGCCUUGGAUCAGGGCCCCUCCCCGGCCUCAGUUUCCCCAAAUAUUUAUUAAGUACCUACUGUGUGCAAUCCUUGUGUAAUUAUUAACUCUUAGGCUCUUCAUUUGCCCUCCUAAAGCAGUGUUUAGAGUCAGGCAGAGGUUAAGUGUGUUGCACCUCACCUAGAUACUUCCAGAACCUUCUCUGGGUCUGCAGAAUGUGGCACAACCUGCUUGCCCCCGCAGAGAGAAAGCUGCAGUGCACAUCCUGCAGACUGCAGGUGCUGGGCUGCCUCUGGAGUCCCAGAAGGCAAGCUUGGCUGCAGGACAGAAAGGGAGAACAGCUUCUCUCACCCCUGAGCCUUCACAAGCCCUUGUCUAUUUGCCGUUGCCUUCAAAAUAUACCUCCCCCGAAACCAGUAGCUUUCUGAGUCCUGGUGUCCCCUCCGCCCUUUCUGGACAGGUUUGGGAAGAAGAAAGCAGUCAGUGCUGGGCCUUAUUGGGGUGUGAAGCGCCUUGCUCUGCCCCUUCUGCUCACUGUGAAGGCCGCUGGAUGCUUCUCUUAGGCAUGGUUUAAGCCUCCGAUUACUAAACCCCUUGCCCCACAAACGUCCACAUUGACGAGCCUCUUUUUAGUAACUGCUUCCCCGUAAUUCCUUCAGAGGUUGCUGUACCCUUCGCUGAUGUGCUGCCCUCCUGUAAAACCUCCAGAUGCCUUCCCACGUAAUGCCCCUUUCAGAUGCUUUAAGCUGAGAGCUUAAACCACAGGUACCAUGGCUGACGCCUGCCAGGUUUCUGCUGCAGAUAAUCUAUGAUGGGAGGGGCAUAUUUUUUACUUCAUUACUUAUGUAAACUCUUGUUCCAGAAAGCUUUAAUGUGUGUGGGAGUGUUCUGGGUCUAUUAGGUCUGUGCGCAUGGGUGUGGGCAUUUGCCUGUGUCCACCGGGUGGGUCUCAUUAUGAAAUGUAUGUUUAUGUAGGGCUUUAAUGGCUGAAAAUGGCAAAGAGAUGAAUAGACCACUUGGCCCCAUGUGUAAUUGCCAGGCCCCUUCUGUGCUCAAAUGAGGUGUCCGAGUGAAGGUCAGCCCUUCCCUUCUGUAUUUGGGGCCUAUUUAUGCCACCAGUAAUUUUAUAAGAAAUCUGAAUAGUUCUCCCCUUUGAGUGCAUUUAACUCUUUAGUAUCUUCUCUCUUACCUAUUUGAGCCCCUCUAGCUACAGUCUGGCUUAAAUGAAAGGGGAAUUAUAUGCUUAAGAAAAAGUAGGACACGGUUGAGGCAGUUUGCUGACUGAAUACGCGAAGAAGGACCUGAUGGGCUCAUAUGCACCACUGCCAUCACAGUCCCCAUCGUGAUGCAAGCUUAUAUGAUUCUUGAGAAACAGCCCAGAUCUCCUCUUAAGCGGAAAAGAGAUUGACCUUCUAGCAGAGGCAAAGAAUGGAGUCUUCUGGGGGCAGCUGCAAAGCGUUCUCCCUAGGACAGAUGGAGCCUCCCUUUCCUCAUCUACUCUGUGGGUGGUUUCAGGGCCCACGAGUCAACAUGAGGAGUUGUGCUGGUGGUAUGUGUGUUGGAGGCUGGGCUGGCUGAUUCACAGUGACGAGGAUGUCAAUAAUAACAAGAAUGAGAAUGAUGGUACCUAAUAAAGACUUUUUUUCCCAAGUCCCAUCUACAAUUCUUUCAUUGGGUGUUUUGCCAAGUCUUUCUCAAUCUCAUCUCAGCUUUUUUUUUUUUUUUAAAGAAAAUGUAUUCAAUACUUAAUUGCAUCACAAAUGUAGACAUAGAAGAAAGGACUUCAAACGGAAUUUAUGGGAGGCAAUGUGUGCGGCUUUUUGCCUUAUAGAGCUGUGUAGAAGGUCUGGAAUGAUCUUCCAGCACCAAAUUUAGAUGGCCUCAAAAAAAAAAAAAAAAAAAAAAAAAUCAGGCCUUAUUGAGGGCAAGGAAUGUUCCAGGUCAGAAAUAAAAGUGUCAGCAACUCUCAAUAGGUUCAUCUUUUUAUUUCCUGUCCUUCUCCCUUUUGUCUUAAAAUAGAAACGCUACCAAGACCUGAGGGCCUGGGUCAGGGGCCGGGAAGCCCAGAAAACAAACUUCCAGAAUCACUAAGGGCUUUCUCUCUCAAAAUUACAGUGGGAGGGUUCUUUUGAAAUUCAAAUCCAACCUAUUUGUUGCUUAAGCACACACAAAAUACUGAGACCUGGGGUCCAAGAGGCAAUACUUCCGCUGCAAGUGCAUGUUGCAACUUCGCGUGAUGUUCCCAGGGCGGUUCUGCGGCAACUUGCGGCUCCGCGACUGUGGGCGCGGGCCCCAUUUCGGGCCCCGUCGGCCGGGACCGCGCCCAGGGCUUCUCAAGUGACUCGCUUCCCAGCACGCAAGAGGCAUUCUCGUCUCUUUCUCUUCGAAUGCACCCGAGACUUCUCCAUGAAGCAAGGAGAAGAUGAGCAGGCGCUGGUUUCCCUUUUCUUUUUUGCUCCCAUUUCCCAGUCUUGAUUUUUUUUUUCCCUUUCUCUCUCUCUCCCGAAUCAUGCAGACCUGGAACUCCUAAGAUUCGGGUCCUCCUGCAGUUCCCAAAGCUUUGGAUCCAUCCGAGGUGUGGGUAGAUGCGGGUUAGUCUCAGGGUCUUUCUAGGAUGAGCCCCAAGCCCAAGUUCUAAGGCGAGGGGGAGGCGAAGAGGUCAGGGCUACAAACGCCAGGGACUGUCCCCGGAGAGGUCAUUUUUCCAUUUUCCAUGCACAUCGAUUUCACUCUAGCGCCAGAUGGACACUCGACGGUCAACGUUAGAGAUUUUUCCGGAGUCGGGGGCAGGAAGCGGGACGAAUUGAGACGAGGGUACAUCCUUUGCUUCCAAGGGUGGCCGAGCCAGACCGAAGGCCUGGGCGGGAGGUCACGUCCUCCCCUGGCCACCCACAGCGCUCCCCAGCCGCAGGCCUGGGCCUAGAAGCCGCGCCCUCCCGGCCGUGCAGCCGGUCAGCCUGUGCGCCCGGCGCCCGCAGUGCGGCUCCGGGCCUCUCUCUGAUCCACUUCAGUACCUGCGGCCUCGAGGACCCCACCGUGCAUCCCGGAAAGCCUCAGAACUUGCAAGAAAGAGGGGCUGGCAGGUGCAGCCUGGGAAGAGGACCCCGCCGCGAAAGCGCUUGGGGGUUGGGUUUUAUUUGCUGGAGUGGGGGGUCCGUCUCAGUGCAUCCUCCUGGAUUCCCCAUUAGGACGCCCCGCCCAUACAUCCAGCCUCCUCUCCCGGAUACCCCCAGUGACCCGGCCAGGGAGCGGGCAUCUUCCCCCAGGACCCAGAGACGUGUCCUCGCCAUCCCCAAACACCGUCCUUCCCCACCCCCGCAACCCUCUCCACAGAAGCCAAAACCACAACAAAAAUCUUCAACCCACAAAGAAAAAGACACAUUCCUCCUUCGGCCUUAGUCAGCGUUAGUUCCAGAUCCGAAGCCGGAGGGGACGGAGCCGCUCGAAGUCGGUUGGAAGGAAGGCGCAGAAGGCUCUUUCUGUCUCCAUGAAUCUCCUUGCAAAUGCAACCGCUGCUGCCAUUAGGACGCGGUCUCUGUUUGCAAAAAAAACUCAAUUCCUUCCAUUUCCUCAUCUGUUGGGUCCAUCAGCGUGCAGUGAGUGAUGCAAGGUCCCUUUGGGUCAACAGGCCGUCCCCUGAAAUAACUUUCAGAGCCCUGGCCUCAAGGUCAUGGGCCGGGUGGCCUCUACAGGCCACAGGUCAGGACCAGGAUGUGCCUGACUGAGGCUGUGCCACCGAGAGCUUCGGACGUGCAGAAAGGUGCCCUGAGCUGCACGGGGGGCUUCUGUCAGCCCCCUCCCACUCUACACAGAUUGAUGUGGCAAUAUUUAUUCCCAUUUAAUUGAGACACUGGUUUAAUUUCAGAUUGCUUCGGCUUAAGGCCCAAUGGGGUUUUCUGCAGCUCUUUUCCCCAGUGCCUCUACAGAAAUUAAUUGCUGUUAAUAUCCAAUUUUGGCUUUAUUAUUCGUUAGCCAAUUAUGUAUCCCAUAGCCCAGGCCCCUUGCUGCUCUCAGCCUUUGCUGGAAUCAGCUCACACUAUGCCGGGCUUCUGCUUUUCUGCCUUCCCCUCUAUUCAAACUCUGUCCUCCCAAGAUGAUUUACCGGCCCGUCAGGCAUUUUGCUUGUGUCCCAGCGCUAGCUGAGCUGGCGGAGGUGUCUUUAAGACGUUUUCCCCCUUUUGAGGGAAAUGUCUUCUUUGCAGUGGACAUAAUUUCCAUUUAAAAAGGAAUCUAAGCUUCUCCACUCUCGCUUCACUAUCCUAAGAUUUGCUUUCUCUGGAGCCAUUUUUGGAGAGCAGUUUUCCAUCAAAAGCAAGCAAGGUGCCCCGGCAUCAGGGCUCCCCUCCCCACCUCCCUAGGAGCCCCUCCGAGACUGUCUUAAAGCCACCACAUAUACAUAACACCAUAGAUUCAAACAGGGUGCUUGGAGGAUGUCAUUCCACAUUUCAAGGAGGGAAACUUGAAAAAGCACUAUUUUCAGAGAUGAGGAGGGCAGCUCUCCCCUCGUCCCCCACAGAGGCCCUGGAAACCAUUCCAGCCUUGCACUGCGCAACCCUGCUUGAUGGAGCUGAUGCAACUGGGGGCGAGAGCCUUUAAAAAGUGUUCUUUUGCCUUGGUUUUUUGUGCCUUGAGUUCACAGAAGCAAACACUUCCCAUCACUGGUGCUCUGGAAACAGAAACAUACAAGUGAGAAUCCUAACGACAGCAGAGGCCCUUCUUUGUCUGCUUCCUCUCCUUCCCCCCUUGGAAAGAAUGCCUCCCAUGCCUUAAUGUGCCCUCACACUUAUCUCUAGCAGUUCCGUAACAACCUGCGCAGUGUCGGCAUCAGAACCGAAUGCAGAGAAAACAAAACGUCAGAGCCGCUGGCUUGGACUGCGGCCCCUACAGAUGAAGCCCGAGCCUUCUACUCCUACCUCAGCAUCUUGCCGCCUUCAUGUGGACAAUUAAUCAACAGCAACAGCAUAGUGUGAAGUAGAGAUAGAGUCUUGAUAUGUUCCCCAGGCUGCUCUGGAAUUCUUGGACUCAAGCAAUCCUCCUGACUUGGCCUCCCAAAGUGCUGGGAUUACAGGCUCCUAUUCCAAAUCGGAUGAAGCACUGAAAACAAAGCACUUUCACAUCCUUCACCCUGAUCUGUAGCAUAUUCUUCAGAACUCUUAUGAUUUCAAGUGACAGAAACCCAAUCUGAACCAGCUGAAACACUCAGAGGCAUUUAGUAUCUCAUGGAACCCAGUGCCCCAGGGACAGGCGGAAACGCUGACUUGAACAUCUCUUUCUGAGUUUCUCAUCUCAGCGCCUCUCUGCAGAUGUUGAAAUCUUCUUUUUUUCUGCUAACUGGCCUCUGCUUCCCAGGUUCACAGCAAGAAACAUGGCCAUUGGGAUGUCCCAAGCUUUGCAUUUUAUAGCCCAGCUUAGGUCAGGUGGCCACCCCUGUGCCAGUCAACUUGACCGAAUGGAUGGAAAACCUCAACUGAUCAAGCUGGAGUUAAGUGCAUGCAGGGAGCACCUAUGGUAACUGCGGAUGGCAGGGAGGGCAGCCACCUAGAAAAAGGUACUGCUGGCCAGGUAAGACCACAGGUAUCCACAACUACCACCAAUCUGCUGUGAACAGUUCCUCUGAAGUUGUGCAAUAAGCAAGCCGUGUGAUGCUGGUCUUGGUAGAAUAUCUUAUUUCUAAACUCCAAACCAUCAGAUUGGCCUCUACCUCCCCAUUUGCCCUCCUCAGAAGAUCUUGACACCCAAGUUCACCCCAUCCUCUGGAGUCCUGUGGUUUGAAAUACUGACCAUUUGUCCCAAUCCUGGAGCCAAGGUCCCAGCAUGCUCUGUGUCCAAGUUCAGAUUACCACAAAAGCUGGUUGUGAAGACCACAAGUUGUUACCUAUUUGUUUUUUAACCAGUUGUAUAUACAACAUUUGGUGCUUUUCACAACACCACACUACCUCUGUCUUACUGUACUGUUUCUCUCCCUAGCAAGCUACCAACAUUUCCUCUCUCCUCCCUAAAACAUGAAAAAAGGAGAGAGAGAGAGAGAGAGAGACGCAGGUAAUGCCUAUACUCUCAUCUCCUAAGGGGUCCUUGAGACAAUGGAUUCCAAAGAGCAGUUUGGAACAUGAAGAAAACCCCAAUGGGGAGGCCCUGCUCCCAAGUCUCACUAAUUCUGGAUUUAAUUCUCCCCUGUGGGCCAGGUGGUGAAUUAGUGGCCCUCCCACCCUACCUUCUGUUUUCUAUGAUCUCGUCUCAUCUAAUAAAGGCUCCAGAUCUGAAAGUCUCUGAGACCAGAACCUUAGUCCAAUUAAACCCUGCUAAAGCAAACAAACUUGGGAAAGACAAAGAGGUGAAGAGGUUAACAGCAGACAAAACCUCCACUGACAAGCUAAAUUAGCCUUGCCCACCUCAGGAGAAGGUGUAAGGUGGACAGCGGAGACUGCUGGUAGUGAUUAACAUUUGCUCGAAAUUCUAAGGAGCUAAUUUUUUUUCCAAGUUAAAUGUUAACCUGUGAAAAGAGGAACAGUAACUAUGCGAAGAGGAAUGUGAAGAAGAAAACAGAAAGACCAGCCUGCUGGGUGGAUGUCUUCCUCCCAAAGUAGUCGAGACCAGGGAUUCUGAGGAAUAGUUUUCCAUUUAUCCUUCAUCAUCUCCAUUCAACAGGGCCGCUGAGCUCCAGAUGAGCAUGGAAAGAUGGAGGAGCUGCCAAACCUGACUUUGGAGGCCCUGGUCAGGAGCCCGUUGGAGGCCUUCCAGUUUUACACCCUUUGUGAAUUUGUCCGUGGGGUGGGUUUGUUCUGAUGCCAUGAGUAGCUUCCACUGGAAAAGGCACCAUCUCCACCCAACAUUUUAGGUAUGCUGGUGCAUUGGGAGGACAUUCUUGGUGCCAAUAAUCGUCUGAAGAUUCUUUGCUAUCCUUUGGUAGAGGCUCUAUUUACCACAAUGAAGAGUAGAAAGAUUAUGAUGUGAGUGUGUUUUGGUGUGUGUGUGUGUGUGUGUGUAUGUGUGUGACUAUUAGUGAAAACUGCUAGUAGUAUGUCAGUGUGGAGAGAAAUUCAGUCCUCCCGCAAGUGGUGAGGCUCAAUAUUAAGGGACAGAACAUCAGUGAGCACCACAUUAAGGCACUAUUCUCGACAUCUGGGAAGAAGCAAAGAAAAAUGUGUCAUGCCUCUUACCUUUUAGGGACUUAUAAUACAGGAAAGAGAAGACUUGUAUAAAUGGCUAAAAAUAUACUGAGGAGUAUAACUAAUAACUAAUGCAGAGUGUGCUGGUAAAAGGUUGUGUGGGUUCAGGAAUGUCAAAAGUUGCAGCUGCUGUGAAAGCCAAUAUGGCGGGUCCUCAAAAAAUUAAAUGUAGAAUUACCAUAUGACUCGGCAACUCCACUUCCGGGUAUGUUCUUAAAACGAUUGAAAGCAGAGACUCAGACAGAUAAUUGCACACCCAUGUUCACAGCAGCAUUAUUCACAAUCGCCAAAAUGUGGAAGCAACCCAAGUGUCCACUGGCCAAUGAAUGAAUGAGUAAAACAUGCUAUGUAUCAACAGUAGAAUAUUAUUCAACCUUAAAAGGAAACAAAUUCUGGUACGUGUUACAACAUAGAUGAACCUUGAGUGGAAGAAGAAAACAGAAAGAGCAGUCCGCUGGGUGGAUGUCUUCUUCCCAAAGUAGUUGGGAUCAGGAAUGCUGAGAAACAAUUCCCCAUUCAUCCUUCAACAUCUCCAUUCAACAGGGCCACUGAGCUCCAGGAUGAGCAUGGAAGGAUGGAGGAGCUGCCAAGCUUGACCUUGGGGACCCAGGUCAGGAGCCUUCUGGAGACCUUCCAGUUUUAUGCCCUUCGUGAAUUUGUUUGUGGGAUGAACUCUAUGAAGUGAACUAAACCAAUCACACACAAAAAAUAAAACUGUAUGAUUCCACUUAUAUGAGGCACCUAGUCAAAUUCAGAGACAGAAAUAAAAAUGGGGGUUGAUAGGAGAGGGGAGGAUGGAAGAGUGGGAAGUUACUGUCAAUGGGAACAGAGUUUCAGUUUUGCAAAAGAGUUCUGGAAAUGAAUGGGGUAAUGACU